GAUGAACGCUGGCGGCGUGCCUAAUACAUGCAAGUCGAGCGAACGGACGAGAAGCUUGCUUCUCUGAUGUUAGCGGCGGACGGGUGAGUAACACGUGGAUAACCUACCUAUAAGACUGGGAUAACUUCGGGAAACCGUAGCUAAUACCGGAUAAUAUUUUGAACCGCAUGGUUCAAAAGUGAAAGACGGUCUUGCUGUCACUUAUAGAUGGAUCCGCGCUGCAUUAGCUAGUUGGUAAGGUAACGGCUUACCAAGGCAACGAUGCAUAGCCGACCUGAGAGGGUGAUCGGCCACACUGGAACUGAGACACGGUCCAGACUCCUACGGGAGGCAGCAGUAGGGAAUCUUCCGCAAUGGGCGAAAGCCUGACGGAGCAACGCCGCGUGAGUGAUGAAGGUCUUCGGAUCGUAAAACCCUGUUAUUAGGGAAGAAUAUAUGUGUAAGUAACUGUGCACAUCUUGACGGUACCUAAUCAGAAAGCCACGGCUAACUACGUG
rnacentral:rRNA from 1 species